GAUAAAAUGGCUGAGAAAAAUAGGCGAUAAACUGUAAAUUUAUUUAGGGAAAGAAUAUUCCUUUUAUCA
rnacentral:tRNA from 2 species